AGAAAGGGAAGAUGUGUGGGGAAGAGGUGUGAGGAAGUGGUUAUUUGUGUAAAGGGAAGAAGAUGAGCAGAGCAGAAACGGGGCCAAAGAAAGACGACCCAAGAAGUCAAGAAGGACCAGGAGAAUGAAGUGUCAGGAAGCUGUGGGAGAAUAGAGAAGUAAAGAGGCUGGGGUCAAAAGCCACAGGAGACUUCUGCUGAGAAGAAAGAGGGGAAAAUGGAGAGGCUGAAGACACAGAGGAGAGGAGCUGGCCUGAGGUGGCUGAAGGUAUAGCAUCCCAGAAGAGAGGCUGGACUGGAAAGCAGGAGGGACACCCCACCAGCAGAAGGAGGUAAGGAGGCCUGUGGGUCAUAUGCAUUUCUUCCAAGUAGAAAUUUAAGUAGACCAGCCCCAGUGGUCUCUAUUUUCUCAGUAACAUAAGGGGUGAGGUGGACUGCUGAGAGUCAGAGAUGAGACUGUGCGUAGGGGAUUUGAGGCCAGUGGUGUUAUGUUUUAGGCUCGCCAAUGACUGAUGGAUGAGAGAAGAAGUUGAACAAGAACAAGAACAGAAUGGCUCAGCAGGCUGGUGGUGGAGAUAGUCAGUCAGGAUCCUGACAGGAAGCAAACAGCACAUUCAAGUGGGAUAAUUGAGGAGAGUUUGGGGAAGAGACUACCUACCAAGCUGUGAGCAGGGUUAAGGGAAAUGCAUUAAGAAUGUGAAGCACCCCCAGUUCCCGUCAUGGUUCAGUGGUUAACGAAUCUGACUAGGAAGCAUGAGGUUGCGGGUUUGAUCCCUGGCCUUGCUCAGUGGGUUAAGGAUCCGGUGUUGCCAUGAGCUGUGGUGUAGGCCGGUGGCUACAGCUCCAAUUGGACGACUAGCCUAAGAACGUCCAUAUGCUGCAAGAGCUGCCCAAGAAAUGGCAAAAAGACAAAAAAAGAAAAAAAAGAAUGUGAAGCACCCAAGGACUAGCGAGAGUGAGGAAACUUUACCACACCUAGGUCUCAAGAGGCAAGAGGAGGAACAGAUUCCAGACCUCAGAGAAAAAGGAUAUCCCUUAGAGGAGAGGACUGUCACUGGAGCCCAUAGGAUGCAGGUGUUGAAGUUACCUGCCAGCCAGGCAGCCUUCUGUCUCCAGGUUCUGGGGUCCCUCGUCAGUGGGAGUGGAUAGCAGGCUUAAACUCACAGGACACAGUGGAGGGCAAGCUAACUAGGUGGACCGCAGAGACCCACAGGUGUCCUGCCUUUAAGCACUGAGACCUUGGCUGCUAGGUAAUCGCCUCAAGAUCCACCCAGGGAUUUCCCAUCUAACUUAAUGGGACAAAAUUUAGGAAUAAAGAGAACAGACCCUCACA
rnacentral:lncRNA from 1 species